AGGAAGGCAGCAGGCGCGAAAAUUGCCAAACCAACUAAGUUGGAGGCAGUGACAAUAAAUAUCUGCGGGUUCUAUGAAUCCGACUGGAAUGAGAUGGAUGUAAACAAUCCUACGAGUAUCAAUUGGAGGAAAAGUCUGGUGCCAGCACCCGCGGUAAUUCCAGCUCCAAGAGCGUAUAUUCAAGUUGCUGCAGUUAAAAAGCUCGUAGUUGGGUGGGGGAUGAAAGGUAGAAGGAGAAGGGGAACCGGAUCUGGAAACUUUUUAUCCAUUUAUGGAGAGUAGCUUGWUAGAUGACCUUAACUGGUUGUUURAUAUAGCCUCUCCCGUUGACCGUGCUUAAAUUCGCGUGUUCAAAGCAAGCAAUUUCGCUUGAAGAGUCUAGCAUGGGAUCAUAAAAUAUGAAGUUUACUCAAUUGUCUAUCUCUUGAGUAUGACUUAAUGACAAAUAGGGGCAAGCGGGGGCGGAGGGAUUCCGUUGUUAGAGGUGAAAUUCUUAGACCAACGGAGGACCAACAGAAGCCAAAGCGUCCGUCAAGGGUGUACCCAUUGAUCAAGAACGAAAGUUAGGGGAUCAAAUACGAUCAGACACCGUAGUAGUCCUAACCUUAAACGAUACCGACCGGGGAUGGGGAGAGGUAAUACUCUUAACCCUUCCUGUACCCUGCGAGAAAUCAAGAGUGUUUGGGUUCCGGGGGGAGUACGGUCGCAAGGCUGAAACUUAAAGGAAUUGACGGAAGGACACACAAGAAGUGGAACCUGCGGCUUCCAAUUCGACUCAACACGGGAAAACUUACCAGGUCCAGACAUGGGAAGGAUGGACAGAUUGAUAGCUCUUUCUUGAUUCCAUGAGUGGUGGUGCAUGGCCGUUCUUAGUUGGUGGAGUGAUUUGUCUGGUUGAUUCCGAUAACGAACGAGACCACGAGAGGGUGGUUGAGGUUGUAGAUGAGGAAUGAAAAUGGGGGAAGGGUUAAUUGUAACUGGCUUCGGUUAGUUCGGUUAAUUUGGAACCUUUGUUCCUUUUCUACACUUACCUACCCCGACCGAAGUGUUUUAACACUUAGGAAGGUCGUGGCAAUAACAGGUCUGUGAUGCCCUUAGAUGUUCUGGGCUGCACGCGCGUUACACUGACUAAGUGAAAAAGUUUUUUUUGCUUGACUGAGAGGUCUGGCAAAUCUUUUAAACCUAGUCGUGGUGGGGAGAGAUGGUGGAAAUUAGGCAUCUUGAACGAGGAAUUCCUAGUAAACGUGGUUGAUCAAACCGCGUUGAUUACGUCCCUGCCCUUUGUACACACCGCCCGUCGCUCCUACCGAUGAAUGAAAAGGGAAAAGAAGGGAAGGA
rnacentral:rRNA from 1 species